rnacentral:tRNA from 1 species
GGGCCCGUAGCUCAGCCUGGCAGAGCGCCGGGCUCAUAACCCGGUGGUCCCCGGUUCGAAUCCGGGCGGGCCCA